GAGUUUGAUCUUGGCUCAGGAUGAACGCUGGCGGCAUGCCUAAUACAUGCAAGUCGAACGAAGUCUUUAGGAAGCUUGCUUCCAAAGAGACUUAGUGGCGAACGGGUGAGUAACACGUAGGUAACCUGCCCAUGUGCCCGGGAUAACUGCUGGAAACGGUAGCUAAAACCGGAUAGGUAUGAGGGAGGCAUCUUCCUCAUAUUAAAGCACCUUCGGGUGUGAACAUGGAUGGACCUGCGGCGCAUUAGCUGGUUGGUGAGGUAACGGCCCACCAAGGCGAUGAUGCGUAGCCGACCUGAGAGGGUGAACGGCCACAUUGGGACUGAGAUACGGCCCAGACUCCUACGGGAGGCAGCAGUGGGGAAUAUUGCACAAUGGGGGAAACCCUGAUGCAGCAACGCCGCGUGAAGGAAGACGGUUUUCGGAUUGUAAACUUCUUUUCUAGUGAAGAAGCAAGUGACGGUAGCUAAGGAAUAAGCAUCGGCUAACUACGUGCCAGCCGCCGCCGUAAU
rnacentral:rRNA from 1 species